GGCCGGAUAGCUUAGUCGGUUAGAGCGUCGCGCUAAUAACGCGAAUGUUGAGGGUUCGGGCCUCUCUCUGGCCA
rnacentral:tRNA from 1 species